CCUGGUAGCUCAGAAGUUAAAGCUUCUGCCUCCAAUGCAGGAAACCUGGGUUCGAUUCCUGGGUCAGGA
rnacentral:tRNA from 1 species